AUUUGAGCUUGCGAUAGCAAGAGAGCCUAACCUAUUCCGGUGUUCUCUUCCUAAAGAAAAAAGCCGUUAUAUAGGCUCAAACAAU
rnacentral:ncRNA from 1 species